UGACCGCUGGCGGCAGGCCUAACACAUGCACGUCGAGCGGAUGAAGGGAGCUUGCUCCUGGCUUCAGCGGCGGACGGGUGAGUAAUGCCUAGGAAUCUGCCUGGUAGUGGGGGAUAACGUCCGGAAACGGGCGCUAAUACCGCAUACGUCCUGAGGGAGAAAGUGGGGGAUCUUCGGACCUCACGCUAUCAGAUGAGCCUAGGUCGGAUUAGCUAGUUGGUGGGGUAAAGGCCUACCAAGGCGACGAUCCGUAACUGGUCUGAGAGGAUGAUCAGUCACACUGGAACUGAGACACGGUCCAGACUCCUACGGGAGGCAGCAGUGGGGAAUAUUGGACAAUGGGCGAAAGCCUGAUCCAGCCAUGCCGCGUGUGUGAAGAAGGUCUUCGGAUUGUAAAGCACUUUAAGUUGGGAGGAAGGGCAGUAAGUUAAUACCUUGCUGUUUUGACGUUACCAACAGAAUAAGCACCGGCUAACUUCGUG
rnacentral:rRNA from 1 species